GACGAACGCUGGCGGCGUGCUUAACACAUGCAAGUCGAACGGAAAGGCCCUGCUUUUGUGGGGUGCUCGAGUGGCGAACGGGUGAGUAACACGUGAGUAACCUGCCCUUGACUUUGGGAUAACUUCAGGAAACUGGGGCUAAUACCGGAUAGGAGCUCCUGCUGCAUGGUGGGGGUUGGAAAGUUUCGGCGGUUGGGGAUGGACGCGCGGCUUAUCAGCUUGUUGGUGGGGUAGUGGCUUACCAAGGCUUUGACGGGUAGCCGGCAUGAGAGGGUGACCGGCCACAUUGGGACUGAGAUACGGCCCAGACGCCUACGGGAGGCAGCAGUGGGGAAUAUUGCACAAUGGGCGGAAGCCUGAUGCAGCAACGCCGCGUGCGGGAUGACGGCCUUCGGGUUGUAAACCGCUUUCGCCUGUGACGAAGCGUGAGUGACGGUAAUGGGUAAAGAAGCACCGGCUAACUACGUG
rnacentral:rRNA from 1 species